rnacentral:misc_RNA from 1 species
GUUCUCUCUCAAAUAUAACCUCAUUCUUCUAUGGAGCUUCAUCGCUUGUUCAGCGAGGAUAGCUUAUUCGACUCAACACAAUCUCAACCCUCCGACUGAACCACGUCUCACCGAACUCUUCCCCCACCUCUCGAUCAACAGCUCCUUCUCCGACUUAUUUGGUGGCUCGAACAUCCAACACACAAAUAACGGGUCAUAUGUGAAUCUCAUACUCAAUAAGAGAUCAGGUGCAGGGUUUAUGUCUCGAGAUCCGUACUACUACGGAUUCUUCAGUGCUGCCAUCAAGCUUCCAUCUGGUUACACUGCAGGAGUUGUCAUCGCAUUCUAUAUGUCCAAUGCGAAUGUGUUCCCGAACAACCACGAUGAGAUCGACUUUGAGCUAUUGGGGCACGAAAAGAGUAAGGAGUGGGCACUGCAGACUAAUGUCUAUGGCAACGGCAGUGUCAGUACAGGACGGGAGGAGAAGUUCAACCUGUGGUUCGAUCCCACAGAAGAGUUCCAUGAGUAUAGUAUCAUCUGGAACGAUCACCACAUCGUGUUCCUUGUGGAUAACAUCCCUGUCAGAGAGGUUUUCCACAGUGAGGCGAUGGCCGGAGCAUACCCUUCAAAGCCCAUGUCCUUGUACUCCACCAUCUGGGACGGGUCACAGUGGGCAACGCAUGGAGGAAAGAAGCCGGCCAACUAUAAGUUUGCGCCGUUUGUUGCAACCUUCAAAGAUAUGGAAAUGGCUGGAUGUGUGUCGAACCCGAAGGGAAAGUCUGCUCCCUGCUCUAAUGCUGGAGGACAAAAUGGCCACCUGAGCCUUGAUCCAGUUGAAGGGGGAGAGUUCAGCAAGCUAUCUCAGCAGCAACAGGCGGGGAUGGACUGGGUGAGAGGUAGAUUCAUGUUCUACUCUUAUUGCAAGGACCCUAAUAGAUUUCGGGUCAUGCCACCAGAAUGCAAGGCUAGCAAAUAAGUUCUUCCGAAAAAAUAGCUGGAACAAAAAUUUCAAUAUUAUACAUGACGGGUGAUCUGGCUUUAAGAGUAAUUGAGAAGGUUUAGAGAAUACACACGAACUUCAAAGAUUGACUGUGAUUUAUUAUGAGAAAUUGAGCAACUACCUAAUUUAUUAUACUAUUCUUCUACUUGAGUAAAACAGUGUUCUCCCAUGUGUUAUAUUGAUAAAUCUAAUGAAG